rnacentral:rRNA from 1 species
UGGGGAAUAUUGCACAAUGGGCGCAAGCCUGAUGCAGCCAUGCCGCGUGUAUGAAGAAGGCCUUCGGGUUGUAAAGUACUUUCAGUCGGGAGGAAGGUGUCAAGGUUAAUAACCUUGGCAAUUGACGUUACCGACAGAAGAAGCACCGGCUAACUCCGUGCCAGCAGCCGCGGUAAUACGGAGGGUGCAAGCGUUAAUCGGAAUUACUGGGCGUAAAGCGCACGCAGGCGGUUGAUUGAGUCAGAUGUGAAAGCCCCCGGCUCAACCGGGGAGGGUCAUUGGAAACUGGGAGACUUGAGUGCAGAAGAGGAGAGUGGAAUUCCAUGUGUAGCGGUGAAAUGCGUAGAUAUAUGGAGGAACACCAGUGGCGAAGGCGGCUCUCUGGUCUGUAACUGACGCUGAGGCUCGAAAGCGUGGGGAGCAAACAGG